UAGCCAUUAUUGGUUCGUCCGAAAAAAGAAGGUGACCACUUUAUCUGCCUGGGCCACUUUAUCCAUCCUUCCCCUACAAAAGAAAAAGUGGGAAUCUUCCAAAGAAAGUUCUAUAUUUCUGGUAUUUUCUGGAAAGUUCAAGAAGCGGUGUUACAAGUCUCCUAUACAGUGGAAGCAGAUUCGAAUACUAGGCAGAGCCGCUGUGUUGCCAGAUUUUAAACAAUUUACUCAAUUAAAGGAAAAAGCCAAUUCGGAAUGUCGUGUUAAUUACAUUUUUGUGAAAAAAACUAUCAACUCAAAAGGAAGUUUUUACUAUCAUUUUCGCAUUUUGGGACCAAAAAUGAACAAAGAACUGCCUUUGGCAUUACAGUGGUAAAUUGGCUGGAAACUAGUGUUAUUAUAACAGACCCUUCUCUUUAUAUUAUCUUUAUAUUUGUACUCGGUAGCAGUUAUUAUUCUCGAUCAUUUAGGCAAAUGAUGUAUCAUAGGCAAGGCAAAUCAAUUCAUAUACCACAUGCUGAAAAUAAUGUAACGGAUGAAUUUCCGAAUAUAUCGGGACUCAAAAUAUUGAACAGUCGUAAGUAAUGAAGUCUUUCCUAUCAAAAAGUUGUUUUUGUUUUUCAUCAUAUAGUACUCACUGACAAUAUUAUACCAUACUUCACUCCUAUGUGUAAUCGUGUAAUGUAUAAUAUGUAUAUUGUAACUUUUUUUCUCUACUUUAGUGAUUGUGAUAUAUAUUAUACAAUUAUGUAAUGGG